GGUCAUGGCUUUUAACAGGGCUCCAACUCCAAGGCCUCCAAUCCUAACCUCUCUCAGUUAUUUCAUUGACGCACUCAACGUUCUCCAUUGAAGCGCAGUUCACGUUCUCCGUUGAAUCUAAUUCUUGUAUCCCCCAUUGAAGCAGCUUCUGAGGAUGGCAGAGCAAGAGGCUCCAUUUGUCCCAAGGGAGAAGAUUCUUGAGAGGCAAAAGUAUUUCCAAAGCGUCCAGAAGCAUACAUAUCUAAAAGGACCCCUCGACAAGGUCACCUCUGUUGCAAUUCCUAUUGCUCUUGCGGCUACAUCAUUAUUCCUGAUUGGUAAAGGGAUCUAUAACAUGUCUCAUGGAAUUGGGAAGAAAGAAUGAUGAGGCAAUAUUGCUUAUUGGCUGCUAAUAGGACGGCUAUGACUUGAUAAUUAUGUUGAUGUAUGCUUUCAAAUUGUAGUUUUGUUUUCAUUUCAAAGUUCCAUUGGCUGCCUUUUUGACAAUAAUACAUUAAUCCGUAAUAAUUGUAUUAUUACUGUUGGAUGCUGGAAUUGUGUACCCGUCAGGCCUUUACUCUGGUGCUGCAUUUUGCUUGGUACUAAAAAGCAAUGCUUUUUUGCUAUUUUUACAUUUGUUUCUGAUUUCGUCUAAAA